rnacentral:lncRNA from 1 species
CCGUCCCAUAAAUAAUGGCCUGUUUUCCUUUUUAGGUUGUCCCACAAAUAAUGGCCUGUUUCCUUUUUUAGUUAUAAUUAACACUUAAUUAAAAUUUUUAAUUAUGCCAACAAAACCCUAAAUCCCUAAUUAUUUCACCCCUCCACCAUAUCAAUUCCACGCCUCCCGUCUCCCAUCUCACUCUACCGCCUCCAUCUUUCCAACUCCACCAUCUCCCAUCUCGCCGGUUCCACCCACCGCCGCCACCCUUCAUUGGUUCGCUCGCCUCAACCCUCCGGCGUGAAAGCCAGAGACGACUACUCGCCGGACUUGUAGCAGUAGCAGCAGUGAAGGCGAAGGCGGCAACGCCUCUUUCUCUCCACCCGCCUCCACCCUCACCUUCUCCACCUGAGCCGCCUUCUCUUCCGACAGCUUCUUCUCCAUUAGCCUUCCCUCCGCUGGUCGCCGGAGUUCUCUCCUCCGCCGCUUUCUUCCACCAACAACACUCAACCUCUGCUUCAACCGCCAAACCCAAGAUCCCUCAAAUCCAGAAACUCUAGCGCCGCCGCCUUCACCGUUCAGAAACUCUAGCGCUGCUCCACCGCCUCUGCCAUCCUCAACCCUCGUUCGUCUCCACUGUCUUCUCUUGCGCCGCCUUCACUGAAAAUCCCCUCCGCCGACCAAGCCAACGCUGCACUUUGCGUCGAGAUCCACGCCGACGACGUCCUCUUACACUGCCUCGACCAGAUCCAGGCCGUCAUCUGGUAGGCGAUGCUCGACCAUCCCCUUCUUCGUGUUAGUUUAGAAGACUUUUUUCCUUCAGAUUUUGGAUGUAAUUUUCGUGUAACAUCUUGGAGUUGGAAAUGUAACAUCUUUUGUUGUUAAUUUUGAUUUGUGUUUUCGGACGUGGAUGUUUCUCUGCUUUUGUUUGUGAGUACUUGGAGUUUGGAUCUGUGAAUGGAUCCAUUUUGUUUGAAAUGUCUUAGAUGAUUUGGGGGUGGAGAGUGAGGGAAGGCGGUGCAGGCGCGCGCCGGCUCGCCGAUGAUGAAAGCGCUGGUGGCAACAACUAGCUAGGGAUGUCAAUCGGGCCAGCCCAUCGGGUUUUUGGGCUAGCCCUAUCGGGUUCUGGGUUAGUCGGGUGCGGGCUAAUCGGGCUGGAGAUUUUUUCGAUUGUAAAUCUUCAACCCUAACCCUAAACGUUCGGGUUUCGGGCUAGCCCAUCGGGCUAAUCAGGUUAAAGGCAUAAAAAUAAAAUUAUCAUUUGUAUUUUAUUAUUCUUAAUGAUCUAAUGUAUAAUGUAUAAAAUAUACAUAGAUAUUAAAGAUAUAAAUUAUAUAGCAAAGCAUGAAAUGCAAAAAUAUAAGAUAUUCAAGAUUACAUAAACAAAAUUAUAUUAAAAUGAGGUAAUAAAAUUUAACAUGUAUCAAUGCACUAGAAUCAAUCUGGAUUAUUACUGAAUAAUUAGUGGAUUUACCAUGCACGUCUCAUUGACAGAAAAAAAAAUGAUAUCACUUUAAAAUGAGAUACUAAUAAUUAAUUUCUAACUAGUGAGAUACUAAUAAUCAAUUUCUACAAAAAAAAUCCGUAAUUAAUUUCACUUUUUUUAAUGAGAUUGCACACACACACACAUAUAUUCUAACUAAUUAAUUUCACAUUUUUUAAUGAGGCUACAUAUAUAUAUUUAAGCAAAUACCAUAGAUCUAAAUAUAGCAGAAGUUGUAACUGGAUGCAUCAGUCACAAUUCCGUCAGCCCACCGGGCCAGCCCAUCGGGUUUUCGGGCUAGCCCUAUCGGGUUCCGGGUUAGUCGGGUGCGGGCUAAUCGGGCUGGAGGUUUUUUCGGGUUGCAAUUUUUCAACCCUAACCCUCUAAUUUUGUCGGGUUAUUCGGGUCGGCCCACGGGUUUCGGGCUGCAUUGACAUCCCUAGCAACAACAACUAAUUUUGGAGGAAGAAAUGUUAUUUUAUUAACAUUAUUUAAAACUAAUUAACCAUUAAUUAAAUAUGUGGGGCAUACAACUUAUCUACUAAUAUAACUGUCAUCAAUCUUCGUGCCCAAAAGAAACGGGCCAUUAUUUUUGGGACGGAGGGAGUAUUAACUAACAAAAAUAAAAUUAAAUAAUAAAAAAUUAUUAUAUGCUCCUAUUUGGAUGAUAUAAAUCUCAGUAAAUAAUUAUAAAAUUAGAUUAAAGUAUAUAAAAUUGAAAUUGAAAAAAAAAGAUAAAAUUAAAUUAAAAAAAAUGAAAUUGGAAAAAAGAUCAAAUAAAAUUUAAAAAAUUGAAAAUAUAACAUAAAGUGGGCUAAUAAUACAGUAAAUAUAAUACAUAGAUUGCAAGUCCAUUUUGCUUUGCUCUGUAUAGACUGUAUUAUUGAUAUCGUCUGAAACAAUCGACAUUGCUCAGACUGCAAGCAAAUACUAUGUUUCUACAAAUUCUAGAAACAUAGAGGAUCUUGAAAUCAAUAGCUCUCACAUGCACUAUAAGGAUAUACAUACCUUUCUCCAUUGUUGUACUUGUGUUGCUUGAUGAAUAAAACUAGAGUUUCUCUUCCUUGACCAUUCCGUUCUGCUAUCUGCGUAAGUGAUGGUUUUAUUUUGAGAUACACCUUAAUGUCAGGAAGAGGAUCUAGUUAUAUAUAUGUUUGGCUUAGUGGGCUUUUGAUCCCUUAAAUCUGCUAUGUCCAUCAAAUAGCAGCUAUAAGUAUUUAAUUGCUCCAACAGGCCCAAUUAACAAGUUAGCCCAAUUAUUUAUUUAUCAGUCCAAAAGUCACUUGAUACACAAAUUGUCUUACACAGACUUCUUAUUGCUAAAAAAAAUGUGCACAAAUUGCAGAAACGUGAGAGAAAAAAAAAAAAAAAAGAGCGGACUGCUACGCACAAAUUUGUAUAUUUGGAAUUAGUAUUUUAAUUAGAAUAUGACAUGGAAUUUAAUUAAAUAAUUUAAAAAUGAAUUUUUUAGGGAAAUUAAAAAAAUAACUUAGGAAGUUAUUUAGUCAACUGAAAAAUUAUUAGUUACAUUAAAUACGGAUUGAAGAUAUCAAUCAUAUGAGUAGUGGAUCUAUCAAAGAUUCAAAAUCAAACAAAUUGAAUAAACUGAAAAAUAAAGUAUAAAAGUACAAGAACUUCAGCAUGUGUUUUGAAUAAUUUUUUAAAUUAUUAUCAUGUUUAUUAUUAAGUUAAACUCAUCAAUGUAAUGAUUAAUCAUAUCAUAUUAUACCAUAUUACAAUAACUAAUUCAAUUACUGUUCGCUAUUUUAUUAACACGCCGCAAGUGUACGGGUGCAAUUGUGUACAGUAGCAAGCAAGGUCGUAUUCCACAGAGACUGAAUUUAUCAAUUCUUAUCCUAAAUUAUUCUACUCUAUCUGAACAAACGAAAUUGAGAGUUUUGGUUUUGAAAACAAAAUAAAUAAAUAAAUGACAGGAAACAAAAUAAAUCAAGCUGCGAAAAUACGGAGAAACAGAUAAGAGAAGAAUUCCCAAGGUAAAGGUUUCAACAGAUUCUCCUAACUAACAUGUUCAAUUCAAUUAAUAAGACGAUUCCUAAGGCAAUCUCAAAAUUAGUCUAUACCCACUCCCGUGGCAUACAAACCGUUGAUUACAUGCAAGGCUACUGUCCCCAGAUCGCAAUUCUAACAUGUAACUCCUAAAAGUCCCUAGGAUUAACGCCCUCACAGUUAUCAAUUCCCUUUAAAAUUAAAAUAAAUAUGUUCUAUGUUCUUAGUUCAGGUAAUAAUUAUCAUCUCCCGAUAUCAAAUUAAAACCUAUGAUUAUGCUAAAUUGGCGGCCAAUCAAUAAAGCAAACAAUUAUAACAAGAACAUAAAAAGGAAUAACAAUCUCAAUUAAUCGAAUCAAACAGUCAAAAAUUCAAAUCAUAUCUAUUCCCUAAACCCUGGGAAAAAGGGAUUCUAGCCACACAUAGACAUAUGAACUAGAAUCAAUAUCUCAAUAAAACAGAAAAACAUUCAACAAUAAAACCAUCGUGAAAUCGAGAAUCUUCAAUCUUGCUCUGUCUUCGUUCUCCGUCUCUCUCAGCUCUCAGGGAAAGGAAAAUAUGAUGAAAGGUGAUAAAAAGUUGCAGAGAAUAAGUUCUUGGGGAGUAUUUAUAUGCCCUAGGUCUUGUAGCUCUCAAAAAUACCCAAAAUCGCUAAAAAAAACGAAUUUUGGGCGGAAAUACGGCGACUCGCGCGGCCACGUCGCGCGGCCGCAUGGCUGGCCCGCGUGACGAAACAAAACUCCUGACAGCUUUGCGCAGCGAUUUUGUUUUGGCUCGUUCUCCCUCGUCCGAACUCCGAUUUAUGAUACGUUUGCGCUCACGAACUCCUAUCGAGACGAACUACAACUUGUAUUUCAUCCAAUUCUUCCAAAUUCCGCUUCAUUAUUUCUGAAAAUUCGUUCAAACACAAGCAAGUAACAAGUUCUUGACCAUAAACGAUAUAAGCUCAAAUAGACCAUCAAAACACACAAAAUCCUCACAACUAUGCAUAAAAAAAUGACACACCAAGAAGUAAAAAAUGCAUGUUUAUCAACCCCCCAAACUUGAACUAAUUGUCCGUCCUCGGACAAAACAAAGAUGAACCAAGAAAUGAAUCAACAAAGAGACGCAGAGAAAAGUAGAUAACAUUGUGGCUUUCAGAUUUUGUACAACAAAAAAUAACAUAGUUAUUUAGUAUCUUCUAUCAUCAAGAUAUCACACUCAUGACAAACUUCAAAUUAUGGUCUCAAUGACUUGCAAUCCUCACCAAAAAGAUAAAGAAUUUAAGAUCUCUCGACUCUCAAGUGUAUCAAUCAACAUGGACGUGUAUACGCUCAGUUCAAGCAAAACAAGUACUCAACUAUAAGCUUGUCAAUCGUCUCACCUCUCCACCACUCAAUGGGUGCUCCUAUAACCAAGAUCAAAAAGGUCUUUAUUGAGGGUUGUAAUGUAGGCUCUUUGGUAGGGUAGGAUAUGUUUGGCUAAGUGACUAAAAGAUACGAAUCAAAUAAACACCAUCACCAACCUUAUAGCAUUCUACUCAAUUCUAUCCUCACCUCUCAUAAAACCAAAUUUUUCAAUAUAUAAUCCACCACAACACAUCAAUUAUUUCUCAUGACGUUAUGACUUUCUAAUGCAUCCUAUGUACCUUCUUUUUUUUCUUUUUUUCUUUUUUUUUUCAACAACUAGUAGGGUACUAGGAUUUUCAAUUUAAAACCACAAAACAUAACUCAUGAUCAUUCAUCUCCACAACCAACUAUUCCAAUCAAAUAUCUCCAAGCUCCCACCCAUAGCUAAAUCAAAGAAUAUGGAAAAAUAAGGCUCAAAGGGGGUGAACUAGGAUCAUAUAAAGAUAUAGGACAAAUAAGGGAUAAAUAGGCAAGCAAAGAUGGCCUUCUAUCAUCUCAAAGUUAUUAAGCACACUAUGUGACCUCGAGGGAGAAACCAAGACAAGUUCUAGUGAGAACAUGCAUGCUCGAACAAUCACUCAAGAAUAAGAAUAAGACUGUAAAAUGGUGACAGUCAAGGCUCAAAACUCACAGCUUAUUUCAUUGCAAAACAUAGAGACCACGCUUAUCAUUCAUCAAUCAUGCUCAAUCUCAACAAUAUCAACACAAAUUGCAUGCAAAUCCAAAAUUUUAAAGCAGAAAUCAUCAUAAGCCAGUUAUCCAACAAAACUCUACACAACUCACAUCAUCAUCAAAGCACAUCACAAAGAAACCACCAAAGCAAGACUAAACAACUCAACGACAAAACAAACAAGAACAACCAAAGAAAAAAAUGCACCCACAAAGACACAUCCCCCCAAACUUAUUCAACACCAAGGAGAAUAAGUUUGAAAAGGAAUUGUAGGGACACAAAAAAAACCAACAAACAAAAAGAAACGAACUAACCAAAAUUGGGUUGCCUCCCAACAAGCGCUAUUUUUAACGUCGUUAGCUCGACGAUCCAGCAGGUGUAGGUGGUGGCCAUUUUUCAUCAAAUUUGAGUACAUCAUCUGUUGUGAACCAAUGAUAAGGUGGUUUUCCAACCUUCAAAAUUUCUUGAAAACUAUGGCCAUCCUGUGAACAAUCAAAAGUACUACCACACUCCAAAAAAUGUGUUCAUCAGAUGAAUCAAAAUUAAAAUCAAAAGAUGGAGUUAGAUAAAAGCUAAAGAGACAAGCCUUCAAUGAUUUUCCUUGGUCGAUGCAAGUGUCAACUACAUUUUGGACAUCGCGCUCUUCAACACUUUUAAAAUUCUCAUCCUUCAAGCUCAUCUCAACUUUCAGAACUUCUUGCUCUUCUUCCAUCGCUUGAGGCUCUUCAUAUGAUGUAUCACUUUCGAGCUCAAUGGUCAUACACUGCUCUUUUGGAUUCACCACGGUAUUGCUUAGGAAUUGGCCCGACUGAUAUAGAUUGCUAAUAGCAGUGGCUAUUUGAGUCAUCUGAGUCUCAAACACCUUCAUCCGGGUCCCUAAAGCAGCAGUGGUAGACUCAAGCUUCUCCAUCCUCUCCUCCGACUUGGAGAUAAAUUUCAUCAUCAACUCUUCCAAAUUAGGCUUCUUCUCCUCAUUGAUGAUUUCAUUGGUGACAGAGAAGCCUGGUGGAGCCUGAAGCGCGUUAUUCGGGCACCCUCCAUGAUAGAACUAUUGCCAACUCUGAUUGGUUCCCUGUUGUACUCUUUGAAAUCCACCCUGCUGAAAAUUCCUGAAAUUCCAAUUGCUGACAAAAUUUGCCUCUUCCAUCAUCAUCGGAUUUUUCACAGCUGACUCCAUCUUAGCAAUACUCAAAGCAUUUAUCUUGGAAAACAAUGCAGCGAUAAAUUGAAGAUAGACGAAUUCAAGUAAUUGAAUUACCAACGUCUCAUAUUAUAAUGUACUCCCUCCGUCCCACGAAGCAUGACACAGUUUUCUUUUUGGUCNCACCAUCUCCCAUCUCGCCGGUUCCACCCACCGCCGCCGCCCUUUAUCGGUUCGCUCGCCUCAACCCUCCGGCGAAGGCACGACGAAAGCCAGAGACGACUACUCGCCAGACUUGUAGCAGCAGCGAAGGCGGCAACGCCUCUUUCUCUCUACCCGUCUCCACCCUCACCUUCUCCACCUGAGCCGCAUUC